CCUACGGGUGGCAGCAGUGGGGAAUAUUUGGCAAUGGGCGCAAGCCUGACCCAGCAACGCCGCGUGAAGGAAGAAGGCUUUCGGGUUGGAAACUUCUUUUGUCAGGGAAGAGUAGAAGACGGUACCUGACGAAUAAGCCACGGCUAACUACGUGCCAGCAGCCGCGGUAAUACGUAGGUGGCAAGCGUUGUCCGGAUUUACUGGGUGUAAAGGGCGUGUAGCCGGGUUGACAAGUCAGUGGUGAAAUCCUGCGGCUUAACCGCAGAACUGCAUUUGAAACUGUUGAUCUUGCGUACUGGAGAGGCAGACGGAAUUCCUAGUGUAGCGGUGAAAUGCGUAGAUAUUAGGAGGAACACCAGUGGCGAAGGCGGUCUGCUGGACAGCAACUGACGGUGAGGCGCGAAAGCGUGGGGAGCAAACAGGAUUAGAUACCCUAGUAGUC
rnacentral:rRNA from 1 species